GUAGUAAAUACAACACAUGCAAAUUGUUUAAAUUUUACUGCAAAUAUAUUAGUCAGUAAGCAAAUAUACAAUAAUGGGUAAAUUCUACCUACAUUACAUAUUUUAUAACAGUAACAUUUGCAGCCUAAACAAAUAUAAUAAAAUCUACCCCAAAAUGAUAAGUCUGCAGUUCAAAGUGCACAUGCGUCAGUGCUGGUUCUUGGCCAAGAUCUAUCGUUUCACUGGCGGGACACUGGAGUCAAGCUGUUCGGUUUAGUUAAGUCCCAAUGUGUCGAGAGAGAAAAAGGGAUGCAGUUGUUUGUCGCCUCAUUGAGUACCUUGGGGAACAUCAAGAAGAUCUCAUCCAAGAUUGCUAGGAUGAAAAUGAGGACAACAUGGACUAAACCAUGAAGGUGCUUGGGAUCCAUAAUCCUGCAGCCAAGGAGCAUACAGCAGAUGUGUUGAUUGCGAUGGAGGGAAACAAAGUGCUGAACGUGUGUGGAAACCGAACCAAGGCAUGUGUGCGGUUGAUGGGAUUGAUCUACGCUCUCAAACUUGAGUAUUCCAAGAACCUUGAGUAUACUUAAAGUAUUUCAGAAACUCUUUUGGUGCUUGACAGAGCAAAGCUGCUCAAGAACGUUUAGUUUGUAACUUUCUUGUGUUAUCCUCAACAGUUCUGUUAAAUGUGUAAUGUCAC